GACGGGUGAGUAACGCGUGGGAACGUGCCCUUUGGUACGGAACAACUGAGGGAAACUUCAGCUAAUACCGUAUGUGCCCUUCGGGGGAAAGAUUUAUCGCCAUUGGAGCGGCCCGCGUUGGAUUAGGUAGUUGGUGAGGUAAA
rnacentral:rRNA from 1 species